CAUGAGACCCAAGGUUUGUGUGCAUGACCAUAAGAAUUACUUUGUAGCAUCGUGGAGGUUGCUUAAAAUCAAAGAUAUGGUAUGUUUUGUGGGGGUCUCAACUUAUGUCCAUCUAGUUCAAGAGUACUUCACUUAUUGGAUAUUUGUUGUUGCCUCAUAGCACUACGGGUCAAUUCAAAUCGAAAGAUAUUAACACUUAAGUACAUAUUCCUUUCUUUUUCCCAGAAUUUAUUCA
rnacentral:lncRNA from 1 species